CCUACGGGAGGCAGCAGUGAGGAAUAUUGGUCAAUGGACGAGAGUCUGAACCAGCCAAGUAGCGUGAAGGAUGACUGCCCUAUGGGUUGUAAACUUCUUUUAUCUGGGAGUAAAAUGCUCCACGUGUGGGAUUUUGUAUGUACCAUAUGAAUAACGAUCGGCUAACUCCGUGCAAGCAGCCGCGUUAAUACGGAGGCUCCGAGCGUUAUCCGGAUUUUUUGGGUUUAAAGGGAGCGUAGGGGGAUUGUUAAGUCAGUUGUGAAAGUUUGCGGUUCAACCGUAAAAUUGCAGUUGAAACUGGCAGUCUUGAGUACAGUAGAGGUGGGCGGAAUGCGUGGUGUAGCGGUGAAAUGCUUAGAUAUCACGAAGAACUCCGAUUGCGAAGGCAGCUCACUGGACUGCAACUGACACUGAGGCACGAAAGUGUGGGUAUCAAACAGGAUUAGAUACCCGGGUAGUC
rnacentral:rRNA from 1 species